rnacentral:misc_RNA from 1 species
CGAAAUGCGAUCAGUAAUGUGAAUUGCAGAAUUCAGUGAAUCAUCGAAUCUUUGAACGCACCUUGCGCUCCUUGGUAUUCCUUGGAGCAUGCCUGUUUGAGUAUCAUGAAAUCUUCAAAGUAAAUCUUUUGUUAACUCAAUUGGUUUCUACUUUGGUAUUGGAGGUCUUUGCAGCUUCACACCUGCUCCUCUUUGUUCAUUAGCUGGAUCUCAGUGUUAUGCUUGGUUCCACUCGGCGUGAUAAGUUAUCUAUCGCUGAGGACACUGUAAAAGGUGGCCAAGGUAAAUGCAGAUGAACCGCUUCUAAUAGUCCAUUGACUUGGACAAUACUUUUAUGAUCUGAUCUCAAAUCAGGUAGGACUAACCGCUGAACUUAAGC